UACGUAGGGACCGAGCGUUGUCCGGAAUCAUUGGGCGUAAAGAGCGUGUAGGCGGCCUUACAGGUCAGCUGUGAAAACUCGAGGCUCAACCUCGAGACGUCGGUUGAAACCGUAAGGCUAGAGUCCGGAAGAGGAGAGUGGAAUUCCCGGUGUAGCGGUGAAAUGCGCAGAUAUCGGGAAGAACACCCGUGGCGAAGGCGGCUCUCUGGGACGGUACUGACGCUGAGACGCGAAAGCGUGGGGAGCGAACAGG
rnacentral:rRNA from 1 species